rnacentral:rRNA from 1 species
AGUGAACGCUGGCGGUAGGCCUAACACAUGCAAGUCGAACGGCAGCACAGUAAGAGCUUGCUCUUACGGGUGGCGAGUGGCGGACGGGUGAGGAAUACAUCGGAAUCUACUUUUUCGUGGGGGAUAACGUAGGGAAACUUACGCUAAUACCGCAUACGACCUACGGGUGAAAGCAGGGGAUCUUCGGACCUUGCGCGAUUGAAUGAGCCGAUGUCGGAUUAGCUAGUUGGCGGGGUAAAGGCCCACCAAGGCGACGAUCCGUAGCUGGUCUGAGAGGAUGAUCAGCCACACUGGAACUGAGACACGGUCCAGACUCCUACGGGAGGCAGCAGUGGGGAAUAUUGGACAAUGGGCGCAAGCCUGAUCCAGCCAUACCGCGUGGGUGAAGAGGGCCUUCGGGUUGUAAAGCCCUUUUGUUGGGAAAGAAAAGCAGCAGGCUAAUACCCCGCUGUUCUGACGGUACCCAAAGAAUAAGCACCGGCUAACUUCGUG